CUGUCAUCCCUGCUGGAGAAGGUCCGAAGCACCUCCACCUCUGUGCUUCCAGAGGGGCACUGUGGUGGCCACUUAAAAUGCUCAGGCUAUACCAUGCACUAGAGCAUCUACCUGGGCAAGGGAUAUGCUGUAUGACACUCUCCUGAUGCUGGGCAUGGCUGUGAGCCAAAGCACCCAGGCAGCCCUGCCAUCAGAAGGGUAAACCACGGACACCUGAUGCCUUCCUGAAGGAAGAGCACUACGCCUGCCAAACCAUCAAGCGUUGAUGCUCCAGCGCCUUCUACCCGUGGUUCUCCAGCCUCAGCAGAAGAGAGAGAAAUUGAUGACCCUGUCGUUGUAGCAUCCCCAUCACCCAGCAAUUAAUUUUAGUUCAAUGCUUCAAACGCUCUUCAGGCGCAGUGUGCGUUCAGCUGUGUCAGCUAAUGCAAAUGGGGGAUCUCAGAAGUCUUAAUGAAGUAACUAUCCCUGAACACUGGGAUCAAUACUCAGCAUCCAGCUGUCAAAUCAACACCAAGGUCUAUACCUAACUGGAGACACUGAGAAGAAGAAUCAGGGAUGAAUGCAAGAAGGUGAUGUGAGCCAUCCCAUCCCCACACCUGUGUGUUAAGGAACAUGGGGAUGUUUUAAUAGUAAAGAAAUGCCCAUAGGAUGUUUGGGGGUGGUGAUGACUUCCGGUAUUUCCUCUCAAAAGGCUAAAAAUACUGACAGUCUUGUGCUGAAACUGGCUUUAGAUUUUCACCCUGUUUGUCAUUCUGCUCUAAGACUGGCUGGGCACUAUUCUAGGGGAUGGUGAUUCAAAGACAGUAGAAAGCACAUCCCUUUCCUCAAGAUACAACACAUAAACAUAUAAUAGAAAUCAAUAGGGUCAUCCAGAAGUAAGCACUGGGGUCAUGGGAGCUUUGGGAGGGAAGAGGCAGGGUCAGAGAUGGUGGGGGAUAACAGCUGAAGGUCAGCCUUUGAGGCAAUGGGAGGUGGAAGCAUGAUCAGGUUUAGGAGAGGAAGGCAAGGGAUGAACAGCUGCAUCUUGAUAGGGCUUAAAAUGUCAGUCUAGGCGAGGUAGAAGAUAAAGGUGGGGAGGU
rnacentral:lncRNA from 10 species